AAAAGUGUAAUUGGUUUGGUGAUUGAUAUUAUAAUUGAAAAGACGUGACAGUAGAAAGUAAAAGAAUAAGAAGAAAGCAGAAACUUAUAUAUUCGAUCAUAAAAGAAGGAGAGAAGAAGUAAAUGAGAAGUCACAUACACAUUUUAUUUAAAAAAAAAAAGAAGGAAAAGUUAGAACAUGGAAGAAAGGAAAGAUGGUAAGUAAUCCUUGAUCCAAUAAGGGUGGAAAGGAGUGUAAAAGAAAAGAAGAAAGAAACAUAGGGAUAUGUGACUGGCAGCGGGGAUGAUAUAAAGCCUUAAUUGGUGAUUCCACAGAUUUUCAUAAUUCCGUCUAUAUCACCAGCAAUUUGGCCACGAUUCAACACCCCGAUCGUAAUGGCGUCAUUUAAGAGGGCAUUUAAAAGGCAAUUAGCAGCUUGGGAAGGAUUCUCAAACGCCCGAAGCGUGGAGCAGCAGGAAGAAGAGUGGUUUGGGGCUGCUGAACCAUCCAAACCCAACAAACUUUGACAUUUAUUCAACUCAUUCAACGCACCUCUUUCUAGAACACAUCCAGGCCUCUGAGACCUCACCAUUGACACUGAUACCACACUCAGAGAGAGCAUAACUACGCCAAUAUACUGAUUCCAACCCAUUUCACACACCUAAUAAUUAUUACAACACUACUUCCUUACUUAUCUUUUUUACUGCCCUAUUUAUAGCCCACUAACUUCUGCUUUUCCUCUUCAUCAUUUAUUUUCACUUAACCAAACUAAAACUAGAUAACCCUUUCCCUUACUUAUAAAAAAUAAUACUUCUUUUCAUUUUUUUUAACUUAAACAAAAAAAUUCAUUCAAUACUCCU
rnacentral:lncRNA from 1 species